CACAACUGGUAUUAAAAGUGUUGGACCACAGCCUUUCAACUGAGUCCAUAUAACUAUUCAUUCUUCAUGUUAGCUGAUGUAAACUGAGCUGCUCCAGAACAAAGUUUUCCCUCAGCAGCUUUACUUCAUUGAUGAACAGCAAACAUUGAGCCAGUUAUGUAUCUUGGUUUACAGACUCCAAAUGAUCAAUCUGGAAGAUAUAGAAACGUAUUACUCUGCAGCUAACCUGUUCACUGAAAUGUAUUCAAAAACACUUAAAGUAUGUCAAGGAUAAAUGUAAUUCAUGUACUUUAAAUAAACUCUGGCAACAUUUAAUCUUAGUUUAAUUCAAUAUUUCAUGAUAAAUUUUGUUUUCAUCAAGGGUCUGGACUUGGUAUCUACACUAAAAUAAAGAUCCUAGGAUUGGUAAUGCUCUGUGGUGCAAUCAUCAUCUUUGAGUGCUGUUUCAGAUUCUCCAAGAGACUGAUACAGGUCACCGAAGAAGCAGACGAUCCUAACAGAGUGAUGGAGGUUCAGGCAUCAUGAGAUUUUUAUAUUUCUUCAUCCCGUUUUGUCUGU